rfam:Anncaliia algerae PRA339 unplaced genomic scaffold supercont2.11, whole genome shotgun sequence.
AGUUGCGGUCAUAUCCAUGGAAAAGCACCGGAACCCGUUAGAUCUCCGCAGUUAAACCCGUGUGAGCUUGAUAAGUAUUAUGUUGGCGACCACAUGAGAACAUCAAGUACUGCAAUUU